UACGUAGGGGGCAAGCGUUGUCCGGAUUUAUUGGGCGUAAAGAGCGUGUAGGCGGCCUGGCAAGUCCGCUGUGAAAACUCGAGGCUUAACCUCGAGACGUCGGUGGAAACUGCCUGGCUAGAGUCCGGAAGAGGAGAGUGGAAUUCCUGGUGUAGCGGUGAAAUGCGUAGAUAUCGAGAGGAACACCAGUGGCGAAGGCGAGUCCCUGGACAACACCUGACACUGAGGCACGAAAGCUAGGGGAGCAAACAGG
rnacentral:rRNA from 1 species